rnacentral:rRNA from 2 species
UUUCCGCCCUUCAGUGCUGCAGCUAAACGCAUUAAGCAUUCCGCCUGGGGAGUACGGCCGCAAGGCUGAAACUCAAAGGAAUUGACGGGGGCCCGCACAAGCGGUGGAGCAUGUGGUUUAAUUCGAAGCUACGCGAAGAACCUUACCAGGUCUUGACAUACUAUGCAAAUCUAAGAGAUUAGACGUUCCCUUCGGGGACAUGGAUACAGGUGGUGCAUGGUUGUCGUCAGCUCGUGUCGUGAGAUGUUGGGUUAAGUCCCGCAACGAGCGCAACCCUUAUUAUCAGUUGCCAGCAUUAAGUUGGGCACUCUGGUGAGACUGCCGGUGACAAACCGGAGGAAGGUGGGGAUGACGUCAAAUCAUCAUGCCCCUUAUGACCUGGGCUACACACGUGCUACAAUGGAUGGUACAACGAGUUGCGAACUCGCGAGAGUAAGCUAAUCUCUUAAAGCCAUUCUCAGUUCGGAUUGUAGGCUGCAACUCGCCUACAUGAAGUCGGAAUCGCUAGUAAUCGCGGAUCAGCAUGCCGCGGUGAAAUAACGUUCCCGGGCCUUGUACACACCGCCCGUCACACCAUGAGAGUUUGUAACACCCAAAGUCCCUGU